UAACCCCUCAAGCCUAGCUUGGUGUUGGGGCCUGCUGUUACCGGUAGCCCUUAAAAUCAGUGGCGGUGCCAUCUGGCUCUAAGCGUAGUAAUACUUCUCGCUACAGGGUCCUGGUGGAUGCUUGCCAUUAACCCCCAAUUUUCUAU
rnacentral:misc_RNA from 1 species